rnacentral:lncRNA from 1 species
GAACACACCAUACCUCCAUCCAAAUUCAUCUUGAGAUAGCUAGUAGGUGUUCUACUUUUUCGAGAACCCGCCUCUCUCACUCUUCUACUUCGAUGUAAGCCGCCACACGACCAGAAAUUGAAGCUAAUAUCCACCGUAAUGCAAGACAUCAACGUCUAACCGGGCGACGCUUCACCCGGGCACUAAUAAAUGCAAGCCUUCGUGGACUUCUGUCAAGAAGUCAGACGCUGUCGUUGCGAGCCACGAUGUACAAUCGUGGCAACAGCAGCAGCAGCAGCAGCAUUAGCUGCUUCUCACCCAGGAUGAUAAUGCACUCACCGGGAUUGUUCGAGCGAGAAGAAUCCAUCCUCAUUUUGGGCACUGACAAGAAAAUAGAAUCCGAUCCCCACAAGGUGCCCACCUAACAAAAGCUUCCCAAUCUUCCUGCUGCUUUCUGAAAAAUCGCUAACAAUAAAAAUUAUGGAAUUAUAAGUGUGUUCGUCCUUCUUCAAAUCGCUCUACAUACUUAAAAAGACUUUUGUGUUAACAAAACUGUCACUGUCUACAACAUGAAUGAGUAUACAAAUCAGAGGCCUGGGCCCAAUGGAACCAAAGUGAUCCUCCUCUGGCCUUCAAUUGAAGCCACUGCAGAUUUUACCUUUGAAGCUCUCAGCCUCUUCUUUACAGCCCUAAAUUGUCCUCCCAACCUCCCAAUGAUAGACUCACUGUUAACCUUCGAAACAACAAUAAAACAAAGUCAUGGUGACAAGAACCAUAACAUACAACAGAAAUUAAUAAUCUGACUUAAAACCAGAAAGCAGCCAGC